rnacentral:lncRNA from 1 species
CCAGAUCCCAUUGUGACACAUCGCGCGCUUGCAGGAUCUUCAAAGCCCAAUAUCCUGGAGUAGAAAAUCCUAGAAUCAGAAUUUUUUGAAACUCAGAAGAUUCCAAAUAAUAAUGGAGCUUUGGGGGGAAGACAAAUGCUACGUGUGGAGAGGGAGCCCUUCCUGCAUACUCUAUGGGACUUAUGAUUGGGGGCCACGUGCUCAGGACACUUCUGAAUCUGUGGAUGGAGCCCAAGCUCUCCUGCACGAUCUGGUCUCCGAAGCCACGUUCCUUCCAGCACAACCUGCAGCCUGCACUGCGGCCAGGCCAACCUCCUCGUCCAACCCAGAAUGCGCCAUGCUCAUGCCUGUCUCCAGACUUCUGCGCUCACCACUUCCCCUGCCAGAAGUGGCCUCACCCACCCCUGUUUGUUACACUUGAGUCCAGGCGAAAUGAUGGUCCGAAGCCCACCCCCACG